CCUCCGGGUGGCUGCAGUGAGGAAUAUUGGUCAAUGGGCGCGAGCCUGAACCAGCCAAGUAGCGUGAAGGAUGAUUGCCCUACGGGGUGUAAACUCCUUUUAUAAAGGAAUAAAGUGAGGCACGUUUGCCUUUUUGUAGGUCCUUUAUGAUUAAGGUUCGGCUAAGUCGGUGCCAGCAGCCGCGGUAAUACGGAGGAUCCGAGCGUUAUCCGGAUUUAUUGGGUUUAAAGGGAGCGUAGAUGGGUUGUUAAGUCAGUUGUGAAUGUUUGCGGCUCAAGCGUAGAAUUGCAAUUGAUACUGGCAGCCUUGAGUACAGUUGAGGUAGGCGGAAUUCGUGGUGUAGCGGUGAAAUGCUUAGAUAUCACGAAGAACUCCGAUUGCGAAGGCAGCCUACUAAUCUGCCACUGACAUUGAUGCUCGAAAGUGUGGGUAUCAAACAGGAUUAGAUACCCCAGUAGUC
rnacentral:rRNA from 1 species